rnacentral:rRNA from 1 species
AACGUAGGAGACAAGCGUUAUCCGGAGUUACUGGGCGUAAAGGGCGUGUAGGUGGUUUCGUAAGUCUGGCGUGAAAUUUCUCGGCUUAACCGAGGCAGGUCGUCGGAUACUGCGGAACUUGAGGACGGUAGAGGCGUGUGGAAUUCCGGGUGUAGUGGUGAAAUGCGUAGAGAUCCGGAGGAACACCAGUGGCGAAGGCGACACGCUGGGCCGUACCUGACACUGAUGCGCGACAGCAUGGGGAGCAAACAGG